CCUCUCCCCGCCCCCCAUCCCGCGGGCCCCACCGACUCCGGAGCGCCCGCCCCGCCCGCUGCCGCCACCGGGGCCGCCUCGCCCCCGCGCCAGCCCGCCGGAGCCUCUGCGCCGCCGUCGGCUUCUUAAAUGCAGGAAAGGGAGGGGACCGCAGGACCCCGGUGUCCCCACCCUAGUCCCCCUUCCCCACGGGCCUCCGGGCGCCAGCGGAGUGGGCAGCGAGCGCGACCGAAAGUUCCAACUCCACCAAAGUCCUGCGCGCGGCCCACCCCGUUCCCGGAUUUCGGGGAUGACACGGGGGCCAGAAUUUACAGGACUAAAGAGUUUGGGGAAGUCGCAGAGCCGCAGCGGAAAGGCAGGGGUCUGAGACUACUUUCGAGAGGAGAAACAACGCAAAACGAUCGCUGGACGGCCAGAGCCCUGGUCGAAGGUGUGGACCUGGGGAGGAUCUUCUAAGUCCCUCCAGCGAAGGCAAGUGUGAGACUCUGGCCCUUUAUUUGUAAGAAGCAAGCCUUCAGACUGCAGAAGUGUCGCGCGGGUCGCCGUGCGUUGCGCGAGUGGGAAGAUGGAGGAGGCCGGCACGGUGCUUUCGUGGACGCAAGUGAACCGGGCGUGAAGGCAGGGUGCAAGCUCUGCCCUUGGCCCAGCCCGGCGUGGGUGCCGUCCCAGAUUCCGGGCGGUGCGGGGUGCAGAGAUCUGGAGAGAGUUGCGGGCUCCCCAGCGCAGGCUGCUCUGGGAUUUCGUUGGAAGAUCCGGUAGAGCCUUGGAGGAGAGGGCCGGGGAGGCUGUGUGUGCAGCGGAAGCUUGUACGAAUGCCCCCACAGCUGAAAUGGUGCGCACGAGUAAUUUCUGCGGCGCACCCUUUUAAACAUUGACUGAAGUGAACAAGAUCAAUUUUUUAAAAAAGCAAAAGUAGAAAAUAAAAGGCGUGAGACUUCUUGACUGGCUUGUUCCCGCCUUUCUUCCUUCCCUAUACUCAGAUCAGAAACUUUAAUUGCUCUUAUUCAGUGCGACAACUUUUAAUAAAAGCGUUUGCAUCUUAAGCCCGAGUUGCAACCAUAGAUUUAUUGCGAAGUGACAACGUGUCCACGGAAUAUUUUCGCAGAUGACACAGGACGUGCGCUCUGGUCCUGCCCAGAUUAAAGGGACGCUGGGCCAUGUGCCUGUGUGGGUGUAGACUCGGAGGGGCACACACCUACUCGUCAUCACAUGACCACUGUCUAUUAAUAUUGUCAUACCUAAACACUCGCAAAAACAAAAGUUGCUUUUCUUCCCUGUAAUUAAAUCUAAUUUGUUAAUUGUCUUUCCUCUUGCAAUGUUGUUUUCAUCUUAAGAGGUGACACAUUAUUAUUUUGUCUGUCUAAUAUUAUUUACAAAUUAAUGCUGUAUAUUUUACAUUAGUGAAACAUAUAAUUAGGUGUUUGGUUCAAUCGGUA
rnacentral:lncRNA from 10 species